UACAGUAUUUUCUGUGAGUUCACUUCGUUGUAUCCGUCAAUAUAACCAAAACGUCAACAACGACAAAUAUAAAAGAAAUAAAAAAUAUAUGAAAUAACACUCUAUCAACCCUCGCAAAGAACUUACUCGCUUGCGUAAUUAUUCGACAAAUAUAUCCUAACAACAUUUUACUCCAUGCUUAACCAAGAGAUCAUUGACCAAUUGUUUUAAUUAUUUUCUGCGAAAGACAGAAGAAAGAAGAAAAAGGAAAAUUAACUACGCCAACACCUAGCGGAGCUUUGUUACUUUGGCAAGCGCGGCCACCCAUGUAGUCUAUAUAGGGACACACCAUGAAUUAACGAACAACGAUGAGAAUUCAAAGUGCAUGUGUGCGAAACGGCAACGAGCCUAAAUAAGUCGUCACUAGUGGUAGUUAUGCGGAAAUAUAGAAGGAUUAAUAAGGAGUUUCUCUCAGUGCACACCCCAGGAUGUUAUUGAGGGUGUAAGGUGCCCACCCUGCCAUGGCCAACGCGAUUCCACAAAAUUCUGCUUCAGGCCCCUUGUAUGUUAUUGUUCUACGGGAGUUCUUGGGUCAGCAUGGAGUUAAAAAUUGGUGUUUCUACUCAAACAUUAUAAUAGGAUUUUAUUCGAUAAAAACAGUAAUAUUUCUAAAUUAAACUACAAUAAUAUUCGCAUUUCUAAAUUCUAUAUCUUAUACUAAUUGAGCACUUCUGCGAUUCUUAAUACGAUUUAAUUUAUUUUUAUUUAUUGUGUAGGAUACGCGAAGAAAUGUACUAAUUCAAAAAUAAGACUUCUUUAGCUUUAUUGCUUAUAUAUUCAAACAGCGUA